GUUUUGGCGCGGUGGCGGAAUGGCGGCUUCCACCUCUGAAGCGGGCGACGCUAUGGGUCCCACAGGAGCUGCACACCAUCUUCCCAUGGCUGGUAGAGAGCAUUUUCGGCAGCCUAGACGGUGUCCUCGUUGGCUGGAACCUCCGCUGCUUACAGGGGCGUGUGAAUCCUGUGGAGUACAGCAUCGUGAUGGAAUUUCUCGACACUGGGUAGUGGCCCAAUGAUGAAGUUGGUUUAUAAGCUUCAAGCUGAAGACUAUAAGUUCGACUUUCCUGUCUCCUACCUGCCUGGUCCUGUGAAGGCGUCCAUCCAGGAGUGCAUCCUCCCUGACAGUCCUCUGUACCACAACAAGGUCCAGUUCACCCCUACUGGGGGCCUUGGUCUGAACCUGGCCCUGAAUCCAUUCGAGUAUUACAUAUUCUUCUUUGCCUUGAGCCUCAUCACUCAGAAGCCACUCCCUGUGUCCCUCCACGUCCGUACUUCAGACUGUGCCUAUUUCAUCCUGGUGGACAGGUACCUGUCAUGGUUCCUGCCCACCGAAGGCAGUGUGCCCUGCCACUCUCCUCCAGCCCAGGGGGGACCAGCCCCUCACCGCCUCCCAGGACACCAACCAUGCCCUUUGCUUCCUAUGGCCUCCACCACACUAGCCUCCUGAAGCGACACAUCUCUCAUCAGACGUCUGUGAAUGCAGACCCCGCCUCCCACGAGAUCUGGAGGUCAGACACUGCUCCAGGUUUUUGUUGAAAUGUGGCUUCAUCACUAUUCGUUGGAGAUGUAUCAAAAAAUGCAGUCCCCUCAUGCCAAGGAGUCGUUCACGCCUACUGAGGAGCAUGUGUUGGUGGUGCGCCUGCUGCUGAAGCACCUGCACGCCUUUGCCAACAGCCUGAAGCCAGAGCAGGCCUCACCCUCCGCCCACUCCCACGCCACCAGCCCCCUGGAGGAGUUCAAACGGGCCGCUGUCCCGAGGUUCAUCCAGCAGAAACUCUACCUCUUCUU
rnacentral:lncRNA from 1 species